rnacentral:pre_miRNA from 1 species
UGGAGCGGGGGGGCAGGAGGGGCUCAGGGAGAAGGUGUGUGCAGCCCCUGGCCCUCUCUGCCCUUCCGUCCCCUGUCCCCAGAU